AGCAGCCGCGGUAAUUCCAGCUCCAAUAGCGUAUAUUAAAGUUGUUGCAGUUAAAAAGCUCGUAGUUGAAUUUCGGGAUCAAUGCGUCGGUCGUGCCUCCGGUAUGUACUGGUGUUAUUGAUUUCUCCCUUCUGAUGAACCAUGAUGUCAUUAAUUUGAUGUUGUGGGGAGUCAGGACUGUUACUUUGAAAAAUUAGAGUGUUUAAAGCAGGCUCACGCUUGAAUACAUUAGCAUGGAAUAAUGAAAUAGGACGUUCGAUCCUAUUUUGUUGGUUUCUAGGAUCAACGUAAUGAUUAAUAGGGAUAGUUGGGGGCAUUAGUAUUCAAUUGUCAGAGGUGAAAUUCUUGGAUUUAUUGAAGACUAACUACUGCGAAAGCAUUUGCCAAGGAUGUUUUCAUUAAUCAAGAACGAAAGUUAGGGGAUCGAAGACGAUCAGAUACCGUCGUAGUCUUAACCAUAAACUAUGCCGACUAGGGAUC
rnacentral:rRNA from 1 species